rnacentral:tRNA from 5 species
GCCCCGGUAGCUCAGUUGGAUAGAGCGGCAGCCUUCUAAGCUGUAGGUCACAGGUUCGAUCCCUGUCCGGGGUACCA